CCCUACGGGGUGCAGCAGGGGGGAUUCUUGAUGCUGUUUUUGAGGCCAAACUCACGGAGCUGUUUUUGCAACUUGGUCCGCCGGUUGUCGCCUUCUUCUUUGAUCAGAGCAAAGGUCUUGGUCUUGCCAUUGUUUUUUUCCUGAGCCUGGAGGAACUUGGUGUACUCAGCGAGGAUGUCGAGCGCGCUCUUUUGAAGGGCGACGGCCUUGUCCAUUGGGGUCUUGGCGGCGGCCAUAUCCUUCACGGCGCGGGCCUCGAUGUCAGCGCAUUUCUUCGUGAUCGUUUCACGGAGCGGGAGGAGCGAGAUCUCCUUUUUGAUGUCAGGAUUGUCCUUUAAAAGCUGGCUCUUUUUCUCGGUCGCCUUUUUCGCGAUGUCGGAAUUGGCGGGGGGGC
rnacentral:rRNA from 1 species